AUUGAACGCUGGCGGCAGGCCUAACACAUGCAAGUCGAGCGAGCGGCGGACGGGUGAGUCCUGUCUGGGAACCUGCCUGUUGGAGGGGGCUAACUACUGGAAACGGUAGCUAAUACCGCAUACCAUCAGAUGUGCCCCGAUGUGAUUAGCUAGUAGGUGGGGUAACGGCGUACCUAGGCGACGAUCCCUAGCUGGUCUGAGAGGAUGACCAGCCACACUGGAACUGAGACACGGUCCAGACUCCUACGGGAGGCAGCAGUGGGGAAUAUUGCACAAUGGGCGAAAGCCUGAUGCAGCCAUGCCGCGUGUGUGAAGAAGGCCUUCGGGUUGUAAAGCACUUUCAGCGGGGAGGCGUUACCAGCAGAAUAAGCACCGGCUAACUCCGUGCCAGCAGCCGCGGUAAUAC
rnacentral:rRNA from 1 species